CCCAAAUCCAUGCGUCCUUUCAUUGCACCUCUUGCUUUGCUUCUCCCACCCCAAAUCUGGCAUUUUUAUCUCCCAAAUCCUUUCAUUGUGCUUCUCCUUUUGCAUCCCCAAUGCCCAGAUUUGGUGUUUCUAGCCCAACGUCCAUUCAACCCCAUAACUGCACCAUCCCCUCCCCUGGGAAUGGGCAGCAGUGGGUGCUCAACCCUUAUACAAGCCCCUAGAGAAUACUUUAAUCCUUAAAUACUUUAACCCCUUAAAUCCUCCCAUGAGUAUGCCCCCAAGGGAAGGAAGAGGCUGUUUUAGCAGGAGGAGAGGAAAAGGUGGGAAAAUCUGCUUUAUUUGUCACAAAAGUAACCCUAUUGUUGAGCAGUGGAUUCUCUGCUGUCUGAUAAGGGGUUGGGGCAUCGCUCACCGGGCUCCUGGUUUUAUUCCCCAGGUGCUGAUCCGCCAGCCCACAGCAGCGCCAAGCUCUGCGCUGGGGUACAAUGUGGGCUGGGGACCACUUGCAGAGUGCUGGACGGCAGGCCCAAGUGCGUCCCCUCGCCCUCCUGCAAGAACUACCAGUGCAAAGACGGGACCCAGUGCCAGAUGGUGGACGGCUGGCCCCAGUGCGUCCCAGUGCCGUCGUGCAAGAACACCCAUUGUGAAGCAGGAACAGAGUGCAAGAUGGUGGACGGGUGGCCCAAAUGUGUCCCGUUGCCGUCGUGCAAGAACACCCGAUGUGGAGCAGGAACUCGGUGCCAGAUGGUGGACGGAUGGCCCAAAUGUGUCCCGUUGCCUUCAUGCAAAAACACCCAAUGUGGAGCUGGAACUCGGUGCCAAAUGGUGGACGGGUGGCCCAAGUGUGUCCCAUUGCCUUCGUGCAAGAACACCCGAUGUGGAGCAGGAACCGAAUGCAAGAUGGUUGAUGGAUUGCCCAAAUGCGUCCCAUUACCCUCAUGCAAAAACACCCGUUGUGAAGCUGGAACUGAAUGCAAGAUGGUUGAUGGAUGGCCCAAAUGCGUCCCGUUGCCCUCAUGUAAAAACACUCGUUGUGGAGCAGGAACUCGGUGCCAGAUGGUGGACGGGUGGCCCAAGUGCGUCCCGUUGCCGUCGUGCAAGAACACCCGUUGUGGAGCUGGAACUCAAUGCAAGAUGGUGGAUGGAUGGCCCAAAUGUGUCCCGUUGCCUUCGUGCAAGAACACGCGUUGUGGAGCUGGAACAGAAUGCAAGAUGAUUGAUGGGUUGCCCAAAUGCAUCCCGUUGCCAUCGUGCAAGAACUUCCACUGCCAAGCAGGAACAGAAUGCAAAAUGGUAGAUGGAUGGCCAAAAUGUAUUCCAUUACCGUCGUGUAAAAACACCCGUUGUGGAGAAGGAACAGAAUGCAAGAUGGUUGAUGGGUUGCCCAAAUGUGUCCCAUUGCCCUCAUGUAAGAACUUCCAUUGCCAAGCAGGAACAGAAUGCAAGAUGGUGGAUGGAUGGCCCAAAUGCGUCCCCUUGCCCUCAUGCAAGAACACCCGUUGUGAAGAAGGAACGCAGUGCCAGAUGGUGGACGGGUGGCCAAAAUGUGUCCCGUUGCCUUCAUGUAAAAACACCCGUUGUGAAGCAGGAACUCAGUGCAAAAUGGUAGACGGAUGGCCGAAAUGCGUCCCAUUGCCCUCGUGUAAGAACACCCGUUGUGGAGAAGGAACAGAAUGCAAGAUGGUUGAUGGGUUGCCCAAAUGUGUCCCGUUGCCUUCAUGUAAGAACUUCCAUUGUGAAGCAGGAACAGAAUGCAAGAUGGUGGACGGGUGGCCCAAAUGUGUCCCGUUACCAUCGUGCAAGAACACCCGAUGUGGAGCAGGAACAGAAUGCAAGGUGGUUGAUGGAUGGCCCAAGUGUGUCCCAUUGCCAUCGUGCAAGAACUUCCAGUGUGGGGCAGGAACUCAGUGCCAGAUGGUGAACGGGUGGCCCAGGUGUGUCCCGUUACCAUCGUGCAAGAACACCCGAUGCGGAGCCGGGACUCGGUGCCAGAUGGUGGAUGGAUUGCCCAAAUGCAUCCCAUUGCCUUCAUGCAAAAACUUCCAUUGUGGGGCAGGAACCCAGUGCCAGAUGGUGGAUGGGUGGCCCAAAUGUGUCCCGUUGCCAUCGUGCAAGAACACCCGUUGUGGAGCCGGGACUCGGUGCCAGAUGGUGGACGGGUUGCCCAAAUGCGUCCCGUUGCCGUCGUGCAACACCUUCCGUUGUGGGGCAGGAACGCGAUGCAAGAUGGUGGACGGGUGGCCCAAAUGCGUCCCCGUGCCCUCGUGUCGGAACUUCCCCUGCAAGGGUGGGACGCGGUGCCAGAUGGCGGCCGGCAGACCCAGGUGCGUCCCCGUGCCCUCGUGCCACAACACCAAGUGCGGCGAGGGCAUGCGGUGCAAGGUGGUGGACGGAUGGCCCAGGUGCGUCCACCUCCUGCCGUCCUGCCGGGACAUUCGGUGCUUGAAGGGGACCCACUGCAAAAUGGUGGACGGGUGGCCCAAAUGUGUGCGCAAGCAGGUCUUCCAGAGGGAAGCGCCACCGCCGCCAGCUCCCCAGGCACCCCCCUCGUGCCAAAACGUUCCCUGUAGCAAAGGGACCACGUGCAAGGUGGUGGAUGGAUGGCCCCAGUGUGUCCCGACCAAGACGUCCCCAAGGAGACCUUCUUGCAGUGACAUCCACUGUCCCAAAAGGACCACGUGCAAGAUGACGGAUGGGUGGCCCCACUGCGUCCAGAACCGCCCCUCCUGCGGUGACAUCAAAUGCGAGAGGGGAACCUCCUGCCAGAUCGUUGAUGGUUGGCCACGGUGCGUCCAAAGCAAGACGUCCCCAAGACAACCUUGUCGGGACAUCCAGUGUCCCAAGGGAACCUCGUGCAAGGUGACUGAUGGCCAAGCGCAGUGCGUCCACAACCCGCCCUCCUGCGAUGACAUCCAGUGCCAGAAGGGAACGGUGUGCCACAUGGUCGAUGGUUGGCCGUGGUGCGGGCCAACCAAGACCUCCUACCCGCAGCCUGCCCAUAAAACACCGUCGUGCGAGGACAUCCGCUGCCAAAUGGGGACGGUGUGCAAAAUGGUAGACGGGUGGCCCAAAUGCGUCGGUCCCCUGCCGUCAUGCAACGACAUCCGGUGUCCCCAAGGCACGGUGUGCAAGAUGAUCAACGGUUGGCCCAAGUGCAUCCACAACCCGCCCUCCUGCAGCAACAUCCAGUGCCCGAAAGGGACCAGGUGCCUCAUGGCCCAGGGUUGGCCCCGCUGCAUGCAGAGUGGGCCCUUCCACCACCAGCAACCGGCUUCUCCCAACUGGGCAGGCACCAGGAGAUAUUUCUACUCCCAUCCCGUCCCGAAACAGCUCCCCAUUGCGCAGCCAUCUUGCGCCAAUGUGUGGUGUCGCCCAGGGACCUCGUGUAAGAUGAUGGACAACCAACCACGCUGCGUCCCCAACCCACCUUCCUGUAGUGACAUCCAGUGCCAGAAGGGAACCGCAUGCCAGAUGGUUGAUGGUUGGCCACGGUGCGUUCAAACCAAGAUCUCCCCAAGACGACCUUCCUGCAGUGACAUCCAAUGUCCUAAAGAGACCACGUGCAACUUGAUUGAUGGCCAACCACGAUGUGUCCACAAUGCACCCUCAUGCAGUGACAUUCAAUGCCAGAAGGGAACUGUGUGCCAGAUGGUUGAUGGUUGGCCACGGUGCGUUCAAACCAAGAUCUCACAGAAGAGACCUUCCUGCAGUGACAUCCAAUGUCCCAAAGGGACCACGUGCAACUUGAUUGAUGGUCAACCACGAUGUGUCCACAACGCUCCCUCCUGCAGUGAUAUCCAGUGCCAGAAGGGAACCACGUGCCAGAUGGUUGAUGGUUGGCCCCGGUGCAUCCAAAUCAAGAUUCCCAUCAGGCGACCUUCUUGCAACGAUGUCCACUGUCCCAAAGG
rnacentral:lncRNA from 1 species